AACUCACCAGGUCCAGACACGAUGAGGAUUGACAGAUUGAGAGCUCUUUCAAGAUUUCGUGGGUGGUGGUGCAUGGCCGUUGUUAGUUGGUGGAGUGAUUUGUCUGCUUAAUUGCGAUAACGAACGAGACCUUAACCUGCUAAAUAGCCCGUAUUGCUUUGGCAGUACGCUGGCUUCUUAGAGGCUCUAUCGGCUCAAGCCGAUGGAAGUUUGAGGCAAUAACAGGUCUGUGAUGCCCUUAGAUGUUCUGGGCCGCACGCGCGCUACACUGACAGAGCCAGCGAGUACUCCCUGUGCCGGAAGGUCCGGGUAAUCUUGUUAAACUCUGUCGUG
rnacentral:rRNA from 1 species